UACAAAUGAAAUGGAUGGUGCAGCAACCAGGCCAACAGUGCAAGAAUUCCAUUAGAAUCGUUCUCUCUUCAGGACCACUGCUGUAAGCCACCAGCUGGACCCAGUCCUCCAGACGCACAGAUGCACCAGGCUUGGAAAGCAACGGACUUGUUCAUAUGCUCUAGGCUUUUCCACUCGAUCUUGGCCAAGAGCAAAUCCGAUUGCAUCUGUUUCGGUGCAUUCUCACGGAGCCACUAAAAGUUCAAACGUGCCAAAUGUGAAUGAACCAGAAGACAGAACUGGCCAAUCCGAUUCAUCAUGACGUCGUUCAUCAGUCACUUACUAUGAUCUCUCUGGACCUAGAGUUCAUGGAUUCAACUGGGCUCCAGCAAUCCUUCUGCCUCCUCCACCUCCUCAGCAUUAGAGUUCCAAAUGUGCACUACUAACCUCCCCAGCACUAGGAUUCCUGGUGUGCACCACCCUCCUCAGCACUAG